rnacentral:rRNA from 1 species
AUUGAACGCUGGCGGCAGGCCUAACACAUGCAAGUCGAACGGUAACAGAAAGCAGCUUGCUGCUUUGCUGACGAGUGGCGGACGGGUGAGUAAUGUCUGGGAAACUGCCUGAUGGAGGGGGAUAACUACUGGAAACGGUAGCUAAUACCGCAUAACGUCGCAAGACCAAAGAGGGGGACCUUCGGGCCUCUUGCCAUCGGAUGGGCCCAGAUGGGAUUAGCUAGUAGGUGGGGUAAUGGCUCACCUAGGCGACGAUCCCUAGCUGGUCUGAGAGGAUGACCAGCCACACUGGAACUGAGACACGGUCCAGACUCCUACGGGAGGCAGCAGUGGGGAAUAUUGCACAAUGGGCGCAAGCCUGAUGCAGCCAUGCCGCGUGUAUGAAGAAGGCCUUCGGGUUGUAAAGUACUUUCAGCGAGGAGGAAGGUGUUGUGGUUAAUAACCACAGCAAUUGACGUUACUCGCAGAAGAAGCACCGGCUAACUCCGUGCCAGCAGCCGCCGUAA